ACCGCAGGCCACGCAGCCGCGGGCGGGCUCGUCCCGUUCGAGGAAAGUCCGGACACCACAGGGCAGGGUGGUCGGGGAGCCGACCCGGGGAAACCCGCGGGAAAGUGCCACAGAAAUGACACCGCCGAUGGCGGGUGGUUCGCCGCCCGCACAGGCAAGGUUGAAAUGGUGCGGUAAGAGCGCACCGGCGUCGCGGCGACGCGGCGGCCAGGUAAACCCCACCCGGUGCAAGACCGAGCAGGACCGUUCGCAGGCGGCCCGUCGAGGUCCAGGUAGGUCGCACAGAUGGAUGGCUGCGCAACGACAGAAUCCGGCUUACCGGCCUGCUACGGAA
rnacentral:RNase_P_RNA from 1 species